rnacentral:rRNA from 1 species
GACGAACGCUGGCGGCGUGCUUAACACAUGCAAGUCGAACGGAAAGGCCCUGCUUUUGUGGGGUGCUCGAGUGGCGAACGGGUGAGUAUCACGUGAGUAACCUGCCCUUGACUUUGGGAUAACUUCAGGAAACUGGGGCUAAUACCGGAUAGGAGCUCCUGCUGCAUGGUGGGGGUUGGAAAGUUUCGGCGGUUGGGGAUGGACUCGCGGCUUAUCAGCUUGUUGGUGGGGUAGUGGCUUACCAAGGCUUUGACGGGUAGCCGGCCUGGGAGGGUGACCGGCCACAUUGGGACUGAGAUACGGCCCAGACUGCUACGGGAGGCAGCAGUGGGAAAUAUUGCACAAUGGGCGGAAGCCGGAUGCAGCAACGCCGCGUGCGGGAUGACGGCCUUCGGGUUGUAAACCGCUUUCGCCUGUGACGAAGCGUGAGUGACGGUAAUGGGUAAAGAAGCACCGGCUAACUACGUG